rnacentral:ncRNA from 1 species
UUCUCGUUACGCCAACCCCGUCGCGAGGCGGGUCCGGAAAGCCACGGGUCUUCAGCAAGUUCGAAGAAAGCCGGGUUGCAGGC